rnacentral:piRNA from 1 species
UGCUUCUUUAACAACAGAAAA